rnacentral:rRNA from 1 species
GGGAUAACAGUUGGAAACGACCGCUAAUACCGCAUAAGCCGGAAGGAUCGCAUGAUUCGGCCGGAAAAGAUUUAUCGGUGUGAGAUGGACCCGCGUCUGAUUAGCCAGUUGGCAGGGUAACGGCCUACCAAAGCGACGAUCAGUAGCCGGCCUGAGAGGGUGAACGGCCACAUUGGGACUGAGACACGGCCCAAACUCCUACGGGAGGCAGCAGUGGGGAAUAUUGCACAAUGGGGGAAACCCUGAUGCAGCGACGCCGCGUGAGUGAAGAAGUAUUUCGGUAUGUAAAGCUCUAUCAGCAGGGAAGAAAAUGACGGUACCUGACUAAGAAGCCCCGGCUAACUACGUGCCAGCAGCCGCGGUAAUACGUAGGGGGCAAGCGUUAUCCGGAUUUACUGGGUGUAAAGGGAGCGUAGACGGCCAGACAAGUCAGAAGUGAAAGCCCAGGGCUCAACCCUGGGACUGCUUUUGAAACUGCCGGGCUGGAGUGCAGGAGAGGUAAGCGGAAUUCCUAGUGUAGCGGUGAAAUGCGUAGAUAUUAGGAGGAACACCAGUGGCGAAGGCGGCUUACUGGACUGUAACUGACGUUGAGGCUCGAAAGCGUGGGGAGCAAACAGGAUUAGAUACCCUGGUAGUCCACGCCGUAAAC